rnacentral:rRNA from 1 species
GUCGAGCGGGGGAGGUUGCUUCGGUANCUGACCUAGCGGCGGACGGGUGAGUAAUACUUAGGAAUCUGCCUAUUAGUGGGGGACAACAUCUCGAAAGGGAUGCUAAUACCGCAUACGCCCUACGGGGGAAAGCAGGGGAUCACUUGUGACCUUGCGUUAAUAGAUGAGCCUAAGUCGGAUUAGCUAGUUGGUGGGGUAAAGGCCUACCAAGGCGACGAUCUGUAGCGGGUCUGAGAGGAUGAUCCGCCACACUGGGACUGAGACACGGCCCAGACUCCUACGGGAGGCAGCAGUGGGGAAUAUUGGACAAUGGGGGGAACCCUGAUCCAGCCAUGCCGCGUGUGUGAAAAAGGCCUUAUGGUUGUAUAGCACUUUAAGCGAGGAGGAGGCUCUCUUGGUUAAUACCCAAGAUGAGUGGACGUUACUCGGAAAAUAAGCACCGGCUAACUCUGUGCCUCCCG